CCGGAUGAGGCUGAGCUUCCGCGGUUUGAGCUUCAUUCUCCUGUAGCGGCGGAGGAAGAGCAGGAUCAGCGGAACUACAGAAGAAAUAAAAAUAUUUCAGGUUUUCUCCUGAAAUUCAUCACUACCAACAACCAGGAUAUUUAACAAAGAGCAAUUUUAAACUGCUGAAAGAGGUGAAGAACAAAACAUCCUGAAGAAUCUUCAGAACAAGUAAAACAUCGUUUUAUAAAUUUAAAAGAAAAAUGAAGCCAAGACCCAGCAUGGAGAAACAUCACCACUCUGCCAAGGGUUUUACUAAACAGAGUGAUCUUAAAAAACACCAGCGCGUUCACACAGGAGAGAAACCGUAUCACUGCUCAGACUGUGGGAAGAGUUUUACUGCACAGAGUACUCUCAAACUACACCAUCGCAUUCACACUGGAGAGAAACCAUAUCACUGCCCAGACUGUGGGAGGAGUUUUACUACACCGAGUACUCUCAAACUGCACCAGCGCAUUCACACAGGAGAGAAACCGUAUCACUGCUCAGACUGUGGGAGGAGUUUUACUGUACAGAGUACUCUCAAACUGCACCAGCGCAUUCACACAGGAGAGAAACCGUAUCACUGCUUAGACUGUGGGAGUUGUUUUAGUCAACUGAAUCAUCUCAAAAGACACCAGCGCAUUCACACAGGAGAGAAACCGUAUCACUGCUCAAAGUGUGAGAAGUGUUUUACUACACAGGGUAAUCUCAAACUGCACCAGUUCAUUCACACAGGAGAGAAACCGUAUCACUGCUCAGACUGUGAGACGAGUUUUUAUCAACAGAGUGCUCUCAAAAUACACCAGCGCAUUCACACAGGAGAGAAACCAUAUUCCUGCUCAGACUGUGAGAAGAGCUUUAAACGACAGAGUCAUCUCAAAAAACACCAGCUUAUUCACACAGGAGUGAAACCAUAUUACUGCUCAGCAUGUGAGAAGUGUUUUACUACACAGGGUAAUCUCAAAAAACACCAGCUCAUUCACACAGGAGAGAAACCGUAUCACUGCUCAGAGUGUACGAAGUGUUUUACUACAGAGACAAGUUUAAAAACACAUCAGAGCAUUCACACAGGAGAUAAACCGUAUCACUGCACAGACUGUGGGAAGGGUUUUACUCGACAGAGUGAUCUCAAAAAACACCAGCGCCUUCACACAGGAGAGAAACCGUAUCACUGCUCAGACUGUGGGAAGAGUUUCACUCGACAGAGUGAACUUAAAAUACACCAGUACAUUCACACAGGAGAGAAGCCACAUCACUGCUCAGACUGUGGCAAGAGUUUUACUACACCGGAUCACCUCAAAAGACAUCAGCGCAUUCACACAGGAGAGAAACCGUAUCACUGCUCAGACUGUGAGAAGAGUUUCACUCGACAGAGUACUCUCGAAAUACACCAGCGCACUCACACAGGAGAGAAACCGUUUCACUGCUCAGACUGUGAGAAGAGUUUCACUCGACAGAGUACUCUCAAAAAUCACCAGCGGAUUCACACAGGAGAGAAACCGUAUCACUGCUCAGACUGUGAGAAGAGUUUUACUACACAGAGUAAUCUUAUACAACACCAGCGCAUUCACACAGGAGUGAAACCAUAUUACUGCUCAGUGUGUGAGAAGUGUUUUGUUGCAAAGGGUGAUCUCAAACACCACCAACGCGUUCACACAAAAGAGAAACCGUAUCACUGCUCAGACUGUGGGAAAUGUUUUACUUCACAAAGUUAUCUUAAAAAGCACCAGCGCAUUCAACACACAGGAUAGAAAACUAUCACAAAUAUUUUUCUCUGCCAUAAAAAAUGCAAAUUCCAAAUCUUUCAGCCAGAAAAAAAACACCUUAUCCAGGGUGUUUGCGGGAUCUUAAAAAGUAAAAAAAAAAAGUCUAUAAUUAAACAUUUUUAAUUUUAGGACUAACAAAAAGUCUUAAAUAUAGAGCUAUUUUGCACUGUAAGUCUAAAAUUGAGUAAUUUGAGACCUAUGUUUCAAUGCAAAAAUUUUUGUUUUGUAUUUGCGUCCUUUUUCACACCGUUCUGUUUUUUUUUUUCUGUUAUGGUGGUAGUUAUGGUCCAUGUAGUUCUAUGACAUGUUGCUGUUAUGCCCGGGUCAGACUACACAAUUUUAGCCCGAUUUUGACCUGAUUUUGUCGGCGCCGAUACAUUGCGUGCGUCGGAUCCGAAUUUCAUUGUCGACAAAGGUCCGUGUAGUGUGAGUCAAAGAUCAGUAAUUUGACGUGAGCGACGCCGUCGGAGCGUCCGACGGAAAGACUAGAAUGUUAGAAUUUUUUGUAUUUUAUCGCCUAGUUUGACAUGAUCCGCGACGGGCUCCCUGACUCUGACCAAUAGGAAUAAGGAGCGUUCUGUGGCGCACAGAUGUAAACACGGGAAAAGAAAGCGGGGCAGUGCUUCUGCAGUUUGCUGGACCAGAGAAACAGAAGAAUAAUCUAUUAAUCAUCAAUCAAAAAUCUACUUUAUCCAUGAGAUAUUCUGUUUAUAUUCACUGAAACCUAAGUAGCUACAUCUUUACCAUACCUUAAGUUCUCUGUGGAGUACAAAAAGCAUGUAAAGUCCAUUUGGAUCACCCAGAAACUAGUCCAGAGUCGCUUUAUCCUCUUUUUUUUUUCUUUUUUUUUUUUUUAAAGUUUUUUCAGCACAAAAGCGCUUCCAACACGCAUAGGGCUUCUGUAGCCGUGAUUCUCAGAUUCUAUGCUUCUCCCCCGCGAUGACCUACAAACUCACGCGAGGACGCGGACGAUGAUUGGUCGGUGACUAACGUGUAGUGUUGCCAGUCCUCCGAGAAUGACGCAAAACGAAAAUAACUGCUUAAUCUGACAUUGAACAUUGUGAGGGACAAAAAUGUUGUGUAGUCUGAGCUUGGCAUAAGUGGAAUGUACAAAAAUAAAACUACAUAUGUGAAACGGAAAUGUACUGUCUUCACAGGAUGCAGCAGCAAUUAUUUUGAUUCUCUGUGUGCGAGCAAGUUGGGAAUAGUUAUGAAGUAGGCUCCGAUUGGCAGGAGAAAGUUAAAGAUGGGGAAAUGUAAAUUUAAUGACAAUUAGCUCUCAAGGGGCAAUUUGCAGACUGGUUGAAACGCGUUCCUGCUGACGACAGUGAGGCAUACUGCACGUUCUGCAAAAGAACUCUUAAACUCGGGACCUUGGGCAUCAAGGCACUGGAGUCUCACACGAAAUCCAGCAAACACCAGGAGUCGGCAAAUGCGGCACGCAAUUCCCAUAGUGCUGUUCAGUAGCAAGCGGCACGUCUUAAAAAAAAGAGGAAGCAACCGGACCUUCACAUAAGGUACUGGGAUGACGGCCAGGUACAGUCCCGGUACCUGGGCUCACAAAUUCUGGGCCAUGCCACAGCAACCGACUUGCUGAAGGAGGUCAAAGAAUGUGCGGGCCACCUGGACCUCAGCAAGCUGAUUUCGAUCUCAAUGGAUGGUCCAAAUGUAAAUUUUACGUUUUUUGAGCUGUUCCAGGCGGAAUAUUCUGAACUGUACGCUGGUUCUCAGCUCAUAUCUGUUGGUAGCUGCGGGUUACACACCCUACACAAUGCCUUCAAAACAGGCUUCUCAUCGUGGCAGUUGGACAAAAUCUUCAGGGCCUUGCACACAUUAUUGCAUAAUGUUUCCGCAAGACGAGAUAACUACGAGAAGACCACCAGGUCUACCCGCUUCCUGUUGGCAUGGUGUGUGCACCGAUGGCUGGAAAACCCGCCUGUCAUGGAACGAGCGUUGUAUAUCUGGUCAUCUAUGCUGGUGUACACAAAUGCUGUGAGGAGCAAGGAGCUUCGAAAUCCUGGCACUGCAAGCUUUGAUGUAAUCGAAGAUGCCCAGAAAGAUCCCCUGACUACCUAAGCUGCAGUUUUUCAGGAGCAUCGCCCAGCUAUUUGAUCCAUUUUUAAGGAAGUACCAGACUGAGGAGCCGGUGAUGCCUUACCUAGGCAAAGAUCUGGCAGAGUUGAUCAAGAGUCUGAUGCGUCGUUUCGUGAAACGAGAGGUUCUGCAGGACAUCACCACAGCCCAGCUUACCAAACUGGACAUAGUCGACCAGAAGAACUUGAUGCCGGUGCACUGUGUGGAUAUUGGCUUGGGUGCUGAGGAGCCUUCAAGGUACAAGUAGCUUAAUGUCAAAGAUUAUCAGGGGGAAGCCCAUGUGUACAGCAUUUUUGCUUACAUUCCUUUUGCAUUUAUCUGUACAGAACAGCAAAAGUUCAGACCUCAGGAUUUUUAAUUUUUUUUUUAAUUGAAAAGGGACUGCUUAAAUACAUUACCGGCAGAUGGAUUGUCUAGACCCCACAGUGAUGAGCAGAGAUCCAGACGGCUGCAAGGCAAAGAUGAAGGGACUUCAACAGGCAGCUGGCAGGAGGAGUUUGUGCUGGGGACACCAUUCUCCAACAGUUCGAUGCUGCGUUGUCUGUGGAGUGCAGGCAUGAAGAUUUUAUCUUCUUUAAGCCAAUGCAAAAGAGGCUAGAUGUCUUCUUUCAUGGCUUCAUCGGCAAGGCAUACCCACAUCUUUGGGCGAUUCCAAGACCCUUUUACUGCUUUCUCAUGGUCAGGCGUCUGUAGAGAGACUUCUAAGUGAACAAAGAGAUUGAAACAGAGAAUAUGCAGGAAGAAACAUUGGUCACACACAGGCUUGUUUACGACUAUGUUGCAAUACAUGGGGGUGUUACCAAGGUUCCACUUGCACAUGACCUAAUGAAAUCUGUCAUGGCUGCCAGGUUCCUUGUGCAUUUGGAUGAAGAGAGGAAGAAGAAAGAGACAGAGACACAAGGGAAGAAAAGGGGUCACGCGGAGGAGCAGUUACAAGACCUGAAAGUGAAGAGGGACAGACUGCAUAAAGUCAUUGAGAGCCUGGGCAAAGAGGCAGAUGAGUUGGCAGAGCAAGCAGAGGGCAAGGCUGGGAGCAAAAUGGCACAGCUCCUCUCAAAAUCAAAUGCACUGAGGAGGGCUGCUAAAGACAAACUCUCCCAGCUUAAGGUUCUGGAGGAUGAAAUUGCCACAGAAAAGUGCACAGCUUAGAAGCAUGUAAAAUAAUGAAAAUAAUGGAUGUAUAUAUGUUUGUUUCAUUGACAAUAAAUGUCAAUUGACCACAA